rnacentral:tRNA from 1 species
UCCCUAGUGGCUCAGACGGUAAAGCAUCUGUCUGCAAAGCAGAAGACCUGGGUUUGAUCCCUGGGUUAGGAA